GAUGAACGCUGGCGGCGUGCCUAAUACAUGCAAGUCGAGCGAACAGGCGAGGAGCCUGCUCCUCUGACGUUAGCGGCGGACGGGUGAGUAACACGUGGAUAACCUACCUAUAAGACUGGGAUAACUUCGGGAAACCGGAGCUAAUACCGGAUAAUAUAUUGAACCGCAUGGUUCAAUAGUGAAAGACGGUUUUGCUGUCACUUAUAGAUGGAUCCGCGCCGCAUUAGCUAGUUGGUAAGGUAACGGCUUACCAAGGCAACGAUGCGUAGCCGACCUGAGAGGGUGAUCGGCCACACUGGAACUGAGACACGGUCCAGACUCCUACGGGAGGCAGCAGUAGGGAAUCUUCCGCAAUGGGCGAAAGCCUGACGGAGCAACGCCGCGUGAGUGAUGAAGGUCUUCGGAUCGUAAAACUCUGUUAUUAGGGAAGAACAAAUGUGUAAGUAACUAUGCACGUCUUGACGGUACCUAAUCAGAAAGCCACGGCUAACUACGUG
rnacentral:rRNA from 1 species